AUGCAUGUCUAAGUAUAAGCAAUUAUACGGCGAAACUGCGAAUGGCUCAUUAAAUCAGUUAUCGUUUAUUUGAUAGUACCUUACUACUUGGAUAACCGUGGUAAUUCUAGAGCUAAUACAUGCUAAAAACCCCGACUUCGGGAGGGGUGUAUUUAUUAGAUUAAAAACCGACGCCCUUCGGGGCUCCUUGGUGAUUCAUGAUAACUUCUCGGAUCGCACGGCCUUGCGCCGGCGACGGUUCAUUCAAAUUUCUGCCCUAUCAACUUUCGACGGCUGGGUAUUGGCCAGCCGUGGUGACAACGGGUAACGGAGGGUUAGGGCUCGACCCCGGAGAAAACGCCUGAGAAACGGCGUUUACAUCCAAGGAAGGCAGCAGGCGCGCAAAUUACCCAAUGCCGACACGGCGAGGUAGUGACGAUAAAUACUGGUACGGGGCUCUUUCGGGUCUCGUAACUGGAAUGAGUACAAUUUAAAUCCCUUAACGAGGAACAAUUGGAGGGCAAGUCUGGUGCCAGCAGCCGCGGUAAUUCCAGCUCCAAUAGCGUAUAUUAACAUUGCUGAGGUUAAAAAGCUCGUAGUUGAACCUUGGGCCUGGCUGGCCGGUCCGCCUCACCGCGUGCACUGGUCCGGCCGGGCCUUUCCCUCCGGGGAUCCCCAUGCCCUUCACUGGGCGUGGCGGGGAACCGGGACUUUUACUUUGAAAAAAUUAGAGUGUUCAAAGCAGGCCUAUGCUCGAAUACAUUAGCAUGGAAUAAUAGAAUAGGACGCGCGGUUCUAUUUUGUUGGUUUCUAGGACCGCCGUAAUGAUUAAUAGGGACAGUCGGGGGCGUCAGUAUUCAAUUGUCAGAGGUGAAAUUCUUGGAUUUAUUGAAGACUAACUACUGCGAAGGCAUUCGCCAAGGAUGUUUUCAUUAAUCAGGAACGAAAGUUAGGGGAUCGAAGACGAUCAGAUACCGUCGUAGUCUUAACCGUAAACUAUGCCUGUUAGGGAUCGGACGGUGUUAUUUUGUGACCCGUCCGGCACCUUACACGAAAGUAC
rnacentral:rRNA from 1 species